AGCGAACGCUGGCGGCAGGCCUAACACAUGCAAGUCGAGCGCCCCGCAAGGGGAGCGGCAGACGGGAGAGUAACACGUGGGAACGUACCCUUCGGUUCGGAACAACCCAGGGAAACUUGGGCUAAUACCGGAUACGUCCGAAAGGAGAAAGAUUUAUCGCCGAGGGAUCGGCCCGCGUCUGAUUAGCUAGUUGGUGGGGUAACGGCCCACCAAGGCGACGAUCAGUAGCUGGUCUGAGAGGAUGAUCAGCCUCACUGGGACUGAGACACGGCCCAGACUCCUACGGGAGGCAGCAGUGGGGAAUAUUGGACAAUGGGCGCAAGCCUGAUCCAGCCAUGCCGCGUGGGUGAUGAAGGCCCUAGGGUUGUAAAGCCCUUUCGGCGGGGAAGAUAAUGACGGUACCCGCAGAAGAAGCCCCGGCUAACUUCGUGCCAGCCGCCGCGGUAA
rnacentral:rRNA from 1 species